UACGUAGGGUGCAAGCGUUAAUCGAAAUUACUGGGCGUAAAGCGUGCGCAGGCGGCUUUGCAAGACAGAUGUGAAAUCCCCGGGCUCAACCUGGGAACUGCAUUUGUGACUGCAAGGCUAGAGUACGGUAGAGGGGGAUGGAAUUCCGCGUGUAGCAGUGAAAUGCGUAGAUAUGCGGAGGAACACCGAUGGCGAAGGCAAUCCCCUGGACCUGUACUGACGCUCAUGCACGAAAGCGUGGGGAGCAAACAGG
rnacentral:rRNA from 1 species